UUUAAACUUAGUAUACAUCCAUAGGUAAUGGCUGCAAGUGAGAAUCUACUUUUUGAAACAAGUUGAAAAAAAGCAUUUGUCUACAAAAGAACAUCAGAUACUGCACUUUUUACAAAUUGAAUGUUUGUGGCAAGCCUGCAUCGAGAAAGUCCAUUGAUGCCAUUUUUUUCAAACAGCCUUUCUAUUGCUUGAGACACAACAAUAUUGAAAUUAGGCAAAUUGAUAGCCCUACAAUGGCCUCUAAGUGUUCACGUGAAAAGAAGAAUCACAGACCUCUCAUUUGAAAUUCAUGUUGUUUUCAUGCCUGCUAACACAACAUCCAUUCUGCAGCGCAUGGAUCAAGGGUUAAUUUUGAUUUUCAAUGUUAUUAU
rnacentral:lncRNA from 10 species